rnacentral:rRNA from 1 species
AACGAACGCUGGCGGCGCGUCUUAAGCAUGCAAGUCGGACGGCAAGGGGAGCUUGCUCCCCCUAGAGUGGCGGACUGGUGAGUAACGCGUGGGUGACCUACCCUCGAGAUGGGGAUAGCCAUUAGAAAUAGUGGAUAAUACCGAAUACGCUCAUGACCCUGUGGGGAUAUGAGGAAAGCAGGCUACGGCCUGGCUCGAGGAUGGGCCCGCGUCCCAUUAGCUAGUUGGUGAGGUAACGGCCCACCAAGGCGACGAUGGGUAUCCGGCCUGAGAGGGUGUACGGACACAUUGGGACUGAGAUACGGCCCAAACUCCUACGGGAGGCAGCAGCUAAGAAUAUUCCGCAAUGGACGAAAGUCUGACGGAGCGACGCCGCGUGGAUGAGGAAGGCCGAAAGGUUGUAAAAUCCUUUUGCCAAUGAAGAAUAAGUGUGGUAGGGAAUGACCGCAUGAUGACAUUAG